rnacentral:rRNA from 1 species
CGACGAGUGGCGAACGGGUGAGUAAUGUAUCGGAACGUGCCCAGUUGUGGGGGAUAACUGCUCGAAAGAGCAGCUAAUACCGCAUACGACCUGAGGGUGAAAGCGGGGGAUCGCAAGACCUCGCGCAAUUGGAGCGGCCGAUAUCAGAUUAGGUAGUUGGUGGGGUAAAGGCCCACCAAGCCAACGAUCUGUAGCUGGUCUGAGAGGACGACCAGCCACACUGGGACUGAGACACGGCCCAGACUCCUACGGGAGGCAGCAGUGGGGAAUUUUGGACAAUGGACGCAAGUCUGAUCCAGCCAUGCCGCGUGCGGGAAGAAGGCCUUCGGGUUGU